UUUCUUGCCUACUAAUAACAAUUAUUUGCUUUAUGUAUUUUUAUAUACUAUAAUUCUGGAGUGAAUAUUCCUAUUCUGUUUAAAAUUGAGUGUAUCUUGCUAUAAUACAUGGUAGUAGAAGAUUUAGUGACAGUCUUUUUUGUCAAAUUAUACUUUAAGUUAUGGGGUUCAUGUGUAGAAUGUGCAGGUUUGUUUCAUAGCAUAAUGGUGAUUUGCUGCACCCAUCAUCCUGUCAUCUGCAUUAGGUAUUUCAAAGCUAAUGCUAUCCCUCUCCAGCCCUCCACCCACCGAUAGGCUCUGGUAUGUAAUAUUCCCCUCCCUAUAUCCACAUAACUCCCACUUAUGAGUGACAACAUGUGGCGUGUGGUUUUCUGUUCUUGUGUUAGUUUGUUGAGAAUGAUUGUUUUCAGCUUUAUCCAUGUCCCUGCAGAGAACAAGAACUCAUUUUUUUGAUAGCUGCAUAGUAUUCCAUGGUAUAUAUGUGUCACAUUUUCUUUAUCCAGUCCAUCAUCGAUGGGCAUUUGGGUUGGUUCCAAGUCUUUGCUAUGUGAACAGGGCUUAGAUAAUCAUAUGUGUGCAUGUGUCUUUACAAAAGAAUGAUUUACAAAUUUUGGGUAUAUACCCAGUAAUGGGAUUGCCAGGUCAAAUAGUAUUUCUGGUUCUAGAUCCUUGAGGAAUCACCACACUGUCUUCUACAAUGGUUGAACUAAUUGAUACUCCCACCAACAGUGUAAAAGCAUUCCUAUUUCUCCACAUGCUCUCCAGCAUCUCUUGUCUCCUGAUUUUUUUAAUGAUCGCCAUUCUAACUGACAUGGGAUGGUAUCUCAUUGUGAUUUUGUUUGCAUUUCUCUAAUGACCAGUGAUGAUAAGCUUUUUUUCGUAUGUUUGUUAGCUGCAUAAAUGUCUUCCUUUGAGAAGUGUCUGUUCGCUUCCUUCACCCAUUCUUUUGAUGAGGUUGUUUGUGUUUUUCCUGUAAAUUUAAGUUCUCCAUAGAUUCUGGAUAUUAGCCCUUUGUCAGAUGGGUAGAGUGCAAAACUUAUUUCCCAUUCUGUUGGUUGCCGGUUCACUCUAUUGAUAGAGUGAACUGUCUUCAGAUGCAUUUAGAAUAUUUGCAUAAAAGAAAAUUUGACCGUGGCUGCUCCAGGAACUACUGGAAGCAGAAAGACAGCUGGAAUUAAGAUAAACCACACUGACUCAUUACUUCUCUUUGUUACUGUUAGGCAACAGAGAUACAUUUUUUUUUUUUAAGUUAUAAAAAUGAGAUAAACUUGAAUACAAAUACAUUGUUGUUUAAGGAGCUAACUCUUGGAUAAAAUAGCUAUUUAAUGCAAAUUCUUUAGAAAAUAAUAUGAUACUUCAAACAAGAUAUUUAGAAAUAAAAGUAUUGUUGAAUUCAUUAAUUUACUCUAAAAUUGUUUUUUUCAAUGAAUAUCGAAAAAAUUUUUCCACACACACCUUUGUCUGUGAACUCGGUCGCAUGUGGUUCUUGCAUGACGGUCCCCGGCUCUGGCUGCCUGGUUCGGCCCUGAAGGCCAGGUUGGUGCACACCAGCGGCGGUGGAUGGGCGGCCCGGGAUCUCAGGACUGGCUGCUGGUGGGAUGGACACCCUGGAGGAGGCAACUUAGGCCAAUGGGAGCACAGCACUGCUCCCACCCCUGGCGCCAAACAUCAGUGUACCUCAUCGCUGCCUGCUGCUGCUCUACGAAGACAUUGGCACCUCUAGGGUCCAGUACUGGGACCUCAUGCUGCUCAUCCCCAAUGUGCUCUUCCUCAUCUUCCUGCUCGCGAAGCUUCCAUCUGUUCGGGCCAAGAUCCGCAUGACCUCCAGCCCCAUUUUUAUUACCUUCUACAUCCUGGUGUUCGUGGUGGCGCUGGUAGGCGUUGGCUGGGCCGUGGUGUCCAUGACGGUGAGCACCUCGGAUGCUUCAACUGUUGCUGAUAAGAUGCUGUGGGAGAUCACCUGCUUCCUCCUGCUGGCAUCGAGCUGAGUGUGAUCAUCCUGGGUCUGGCCUUCGGCCACCUGGAGAACAAGUACAGCAUCAAGCAGGUGCUGGCCAUCACCAUGGUGUUGUCCCUGGCCUAUUCUGUCACCCAGGGGACCCUGGAGACCCUGUACCCUGAUGCCCAUCUCUCAGCUGAGGACUUUAACAUCUAUGGCCAUGGGGGCCGCCAGUUCUGGCCGGUCAGCUCCUGCUGCUUCUUCCUGGUAUACUCUGGUGGUCAUCCUCCCCAAGACCCGGCUGAAGGAGUGCAUUUUCCUGCCUUCUUGGAGGAGCUUCUACGUGUAUGCGGGCAUCCCGGCGCUGCUCAACCUGCUACAGGGGCUGGGGAGUGUGCUGCUGUGCUUGGACAUCAUCGAGGGGCUCUGCUGUGUAGACACCACAACCUUCCUAUACUUCAGUUUUUUUCGUGCUGCUCAUCUAUGUGGCCUUCCUCCGGAGCUUCUUCCUCUCGGAACCCAAGAUCCUCUUCUCCUACAAAUGCCAAGUGGAUGAGACAGAGGAGCCAGACAUACAGCUACCCCAGCCCUACGCUGUGGCCCAGCAGGAGGGCCUGGAGGCUGCAGGGGCUGCUGGGUCCUCAGCUGCCAGUUACUCGAGCACGCAGUUCGACUCUGCUGGUGGGGUGGCCUACCUGGACGACAUCGCUUCCAUGCCCUGCCGUACUGGCAGCAUCAACAGCACGGACAGUGAGCGUUGGGAGGCCAUCAAUGCCUUAGAAUGGCUGUUGGGGCCUGCAGAGGACAGGCCAGAGAGGAGGUCAGAGGGCCCAGAGUCCCUGGGGGAGGAAGACCAGGUCACAGGACCUGUGGGUGGUAGCCCUGUGCGGCUCUGUUCCCAUCAUGAGUCUGGAGGCCCCCACCUCCCUGGGGCUCCUGAUACCCUUUGCCAUCUCUGCUUUCACUGGGGACCCUCCUCCCCUUCCCACCUACUCUCAUCCUGCUUAGCCACAUGGCCCAGGCUUUCCUUCCAGGGCCAUGCUUGGCAAGGCUGGCCAAGGGCACCGUCCUUCUCUGCACCCUUGGCACAAGGGCAGGGCUGGCUCUCCCAAUGCCUCCAUCCCGUCUCCAUGGUGCUUUGGCCUCCUCAAAGCCCACCAUGGUGGAUGUACUGAAGUGUGUAUAUUUUCUUGAUCUGUUUUUUAAUAAAAAGGAAAAGGAACAGAAAAAAAAAAAAAAA